GUCCUUCGACUGACGGUCAACGCGAGCAGCCACCAAAAAAUUUAAUAAGCAGCGCCCCAAAAGAAUUCACCGAGCGAGAAGAGAAGUGUUUGAAAAGAAAAUUUGUAAAAGCUUAUUUAACGUUAGAUCUAGCCAAUUAGUAGAAGUCCAAGAACUAAAGUCAAGCCAGCCAGCCAAACAACCGCAAGAAACCAAUUAAAACAACAGCAAUAAUAAACAACAACAACAACCACAACAAUUUGCAUGUCUUCGUUCAUUUGCGCUGAAUAUGAUAUAAAAAACUACAUGAGCAACGCGAUAAAUGUCAAACUGAGGUGGGCCGAUUAUCAUGGCAAGCAAUGUACAACAACAGCGAC
rnacentral:sRNA from 1 species